CUCUUUCUCCUUAAUUGCCUUUCAUCUUUUUCAGAUCUCACCACCUCCACUUCCAAUUUGUCCUUUCGAUCUAAUCUCUUCUCUUACAGGUGAGUCUUUGUUUCAAGUCUUGCUUAGUCAAUCUAGGGUCUUUCUUCCAAUUAAUCUUUCAAUUCCUGUGCUUUUGCCGUGCCUGAUCUUUUUGAUUUCUUUUUAUUUUGUUGUGUAAUUAAAAAAAAAAAGAUUUGGUAUAUUUCGUUGGCCUGGUUGCUUGCUAAUGGGAAAUGAAACCAGAAGAAAGUAAAAGAUAGUUUGGGUCCUGUUCUUCUCCCGCUGCAU
rnacentral:misc_RNA from 1 species